rfam:Bombyx mori DNA, contig: Bm_scaf1_contig1091, strain: p50T/Dazao, build 2, whole genome shotgun sequence.
UUAUCUCAAAUUCGUAUGGAGUUGGAACGUUUGCCUACAUUUGACGCUAGGGGCGCUGUUCCAACUGCAUACAAUUUUGAGUUA